rnacentral:rRNA from 1 species
UACGUAGGGCGCGAGCGUUGUCCGGAAUUAUUGGGCGUAAAGAGCUCGUAGGUGGCUUGUUGCGUCUGCCGUGAAAGCCCGUGGCUUAACUACGGGUCUGCGGUGGAUACGGGCAGGCUAGAGGCUGGUAGGGGCAAGCGGAAUUCCUGGUGUAGCGGUGAAAUGCGCAGAUAUCAGGAGGAACACCGGUGGCGAAGGCGGCUUGCUGGGCCAGUUCUGACGCUGAGGAGCGAAAACGUGGGGAGCGAACAGG